rnacentral:RNase_P_RNA from 1 species
GGGUCGGGUGCGGUGGUCGCGGGGCCUUCGGGCCUCGAGGAAAGUCCGAGCUCCACAGGGACGAUUGCCAGGUAACGCCUGGGCGCCGCAAGGCGACGGACAGGGCCACAGAAAACAUACCGCCCAUCUCGGUGGGUAAGGGUGAAAAGGUGGGGUAAGAGCCCACCGCGCCGCUGGUAACAGCGGUGGCAGGGUAACCCCCAAUCGGAGCAAGGCCAAAUAGGCGGCGAGGUGCG